AACGAACGCUGGCGGCAUGCCUAACACAUGCCAGUCGAACGAGACCUUCGGGUCUAGUGGCGCACGGGUGCGUAACGCGUGGGAAUCUGCCCUUGGGUUCGGAAUAACAGUUGGAAACGACUGCUAAUACCGGAUGAUGACGUAAGUCCAAAGAUUUAUCGCCCAAGGAUGAGCCCGCGUAGGAUUAGCUAGUUGGUGAGGUAAAGGCUCACCAAGGCGACGAUCCUUAGCUGGUCUGAGAGGAUGAUCAGCCACUCUGGGACUGAGACACGGCCCAGACUCCUACGGGAGGCAGCAGUGGGGAAUAUUGGACAAUGGGCGAAAGCCUGAUCCAGCAAUGCCGCGUGAGUGAUGAAGGCCUUAGGGUUGUAAAGCUCUUUUACCCGGGAUGAUAAUGACAGUACCGGGAGAAUAAGCUCCGGCUAACUCCGUG
rnacentral:rRNA from 1 species